GCUCUUGCUGCCCGAGGUUUUAUUUACGCAGCCAAAGUUCCUGAGUGCCUCCUUCGCAUAUAAGCACGGGGCCUGCAAGGGUUAAGCUGUAGCGCUAGGCUAGUGUGGGUCUGCAGGACCCUAGACGGUUCACUACAGAGAUGAGGGUCCCGGGAGUUCUCAGCAUCCACACGUCGAGGACUGCUACCCCCUUGCACCCCCGGGGGUCGCUGCUGCAUCCUUUGGCCCAACUACCGCAUAUUCUUCCUACAUCAGCUUUGGAAUGGACUAAUAUCCCCAGCAUCUGGCUCCCCACCCGAAGCUGGAGAUGCAGAGACAGAGGAGGGGGACCAAGGAAUGGGAUCCAUAAGGAAGUGCAUCACUGUAUGGGAGGGCUUUGAGGUCUUCUAUGCUCAAGCUCCUCCCAGUAUAAGAUCCAGUCCCCUCCUGGCUGCCUUCGGAUCAAGAUUUAGAACUCCUCUAGUACUAUGUCUGCCUGCACACUGCCAUGCUUUCCCACCAUGAUGACAAUGGACUGAACCUCUGAAACUGUAAGCCAACCCCAAUUAAAGAGUUGCCUUUAA